rnacentral:rRNA from 1 species
AGAGUUUGAUCCUGGCUCAGAACGAACGCUGGCGGCAGGCCUAACACAUGCAGGUCGAACGCCCAGCAAUGGGAGUGGCGCACGGGUGAGUAACGCGUGGGAACGUGCCUUUUGGUACGGAAUAACGUCGGGAAACUGACGCUAAUACCGUAUACGCCCCGAGGGGGAAAGAUUUAUCGCCAAAAGAUCGGCCCGCGUCAGAUUAGCUAGUUGGUGGGGUAAUGGCCUACCAAGGCUUUGAUCUGUAGCUGUUCUGAGAGGAAGAUCAGCCACACUGGAACUGAGACACGGUCCAGACUCCUACGGGAGGCAGCAGUGGGGAAUAUUGGACAAUGGGGGAAACCCUGAUCCAGCCAUGCCGCGUGAGUGAUGAAGGCCUUAGGGUUGUAAAGCUCUUUUAGCAGGGAAGAUGAUGACGGUACCUGCAGAAUAAGCACCGGCUAACUUCGUGCCAGCAGCCGCGGUAAUACGAAGGGUGCUAGCGUUGUUCGGAAUCACUGGGCGUAAAGCGUGCGUAGGCGGCUUUGCAAGUCAGGGGUGAAAUGCCAAGGCUUAACCUUGGAACUGCCUUUGAAACUGCGAAGCUGGAGUGUCGGAGGGGAUAGCGGAAUUUCUAAUGUAGCGGUGAAAUGCGUAGGUAUUAGAAGGAACACCGGUGGCGAAGGCGGCUAUCUGGACGACAACUGACGCUGAGGCACGAAAGCGUGGGGAUCAAACAGGAUUAGAUACCCUGGUAGUCCACGCUGUAAACGAUGGAUGCUAGCCGUCAGGGGGUUCCCCUUUGGUGGCGUAGCUAACGCGUUAAGCAUCCCGCCUGGGGAGUACGGUCGCAAGAUUAAAACUCAAAGGAAUUGACGGGGACCCGCACAAGCGGUGGAACAUGUGGUUUAAUUCGAGGCAACGCGAAGAACCUUACCAGGCUUUGACAUGCCCUCUGUGGAUCCUAGAAAUAGGGUCCUUCACUUCGGGUGGGAGGAGCACAGGUGCUGCAUGGCUGUCGUCAGCUCGUGUCGUGAGAUGUUGGGUUAAGUCCCGCAACGAGCGCAACCCUCGUCCUCUGUUGCUAACAGGUAAUGCUGAGAACUCUGAGGAAACUGCCGGUGAUAAGCCGGAGGAAGGUGGGGAUGACGUCAAGUCCUCAUGGCCCUUACAGCCUGGGCUACACACGUGUUACAAUGGCAGUGACAAUGCGCAGCUACUCUGCAAGGAGAUGCGAAUCGCAAAAAGCUGCCUCAGUUCGGAUUGUACUCUGCAACUCGAGUACAUGAAGCUGGAAUCGCUAGUAAUCGCGCAUCAUCGCGGCGCGGUGAAUACGUUCCCGGGUCUUGUACACACCGCCCGUCACACCAUGGAAGUCGGUUCUGCCUUAAGCCCCCCUUAAAAGGGUCCACGGCAGGGUCGGUGC